ensembl:lncRNA novel transcript
AGAAAGAGGAAACCUGUAAGAAGAGGGUGUUUGAGGCCUAGCACCUGAAAGAGACUUGGAAGAGAAAGAAUGGAGUGCAAAACAUAACAUCUAGAUGCUCUUCCCAGCCAGAUGAAUGAAAUUCGAGCCCUGCUCAAGUGGAAGCAGACUCAGGGCACUGAGAACUUAAAGUUUUAACUCAGCAGUAUGCAGACGGUCACUCAAUCUUUAUGCUAGAGUGCAAUGGUGUGAUCAUGACUCACUGCAGCCUCAACCUCCUGACUCAAGUGAUCCUCUCUUCUCAGCUUCCUAAGAACCUGGGACUACAGUCAUGUGUCAUCAUGCCUGCAUGAUGCAUCAAACAUACCAUGGCAUGGCUAGGACCCAACCUAGUACCAGAAAUGAAGGAAUUGACCCUGGAGGAACUGCAACCCUGGACGAUGCAGCGUACUCGGACAACACAAGUCCCGAACAUCACCUGGGAGAUGCCGAAGAAGACAACUUAGCGGGCUGAACGAAUUCUGCUCCAGACACAGACACCAUUCACUGCAGAUAACUUGUUCCUUGCUGUGCUCUCUGUUGUACAUUGCAACUCAUGUAGGGGUAUAGAUCAAAAGCACCUUGCAUGUCUGCAAGCCCUCAAGGCUGCCUUGGAAUAUGUAGGGGAGCCGCAAGAUGCACUGGCAUUCCGACAGCAAUUAAACUGUGACUGGGAGCAAAAGCAUAUCUAUGUCACCUCUCUACCUUGGAAUCAAUCAAUACAUAGUUGGGAUGAAGUAAAACAACACCUCUGGCGAACCUUACAUGAUAAUUUAACAGCAGAUUCAAGGCAACUUAAAACUAAAAUUCUAGACUCCCUAAACGCCAUAGAUCUACACACCCAACAAACAGCCACAUGGAAGGAUGUGUGAGAACAUCUCUCCUGGAUAGAUCCCCACUCCGGCGGGGGCGGGUGUCACUCCUUCAUUGGAAAAGGAUGUUACUGAUUAUUCUCAGGACUGCUCUCUACUCCGAGGAUCAACAAUGUUAAUUACCCACAAAUUGUGUUUGCUCCAAGCUUUUGUCAUUAAAUC